UGGGGAAUUUUCCGCAAUGGGCGAAAGCCUGACGGAGCAACGCCGCGUGGAUGAUGAAGUCUUUCGGGACGUAAAAUCCUUUCAGCAGGGACGAAUACAAUGACGGUACCUGCAGAAGAAGCAUCGGCUAACUACGUGCCAGCAGCCGCGGUAAUGCGUAGGAUGCAAGCGUUGUCCGGAAUCAUUGGGCGUAAAGCGAACGUAGGCGGUUUCUUAAGUCUGUGCUUAAAGACCGGGGCUCAACCCCGGGAGUGGCAUGGAUACUGGGAGACUGGAGGAUGUCAGAGGAAAGUGGAAUUCCUAGUGUAGCGGUGAAAUGCGUAGAUAUUAGGAGGAACACCAGUGGCGAAAGCGACUUUCUGGGACAUUCCUGACGCUGAGGUUCGAAAGCUCGGGGAGCAAACAG
rnacentral:rRNA from 1 species